rnacentral:rRNA from 1 species
UACGUAGGUGGCAAGCGUUGUCCGGAUUUACUGGGCGUAAAGAGCGCGCAGGCGGCCGUUCAAGUCGGGUGUGAAAGCCCCCGGCUCAACUGGGGAGGGUCACGCGAUACUGAUCGACUCGAAGGCAGGAGAGGGUAGUGGAAUUCCCGGUGUAGUGGUGAAAUGCGUAGAUAUCGGGAGGAACACCAGUGGCGAAGGCGGCUACCUGGGCUGUUUCUUGACGCUGAGGCGCGAAAGCUAGGGGAGCAAACGGG